ACGGCGAGUGAGCGGCAAAAGCUUCAAAUUUUGAAAUCUGGCACCUUCGGUGUCCGAGUUGUAAUUUGAAGAAGGUAACUUUGGAGUUGGCUCUUGUCUAUGUUCCUUGGAACAGGACGUCACAGAGGGUGAGAAUCCCGUGCGAUGAGAUGCCCAAUUCUAUGUAAAGUGCUUUCGAAGAGUCGAGUUGUUUGGGAAUGCAGCUCUAAGUGGGUGGUAAAUUCCAUCUAAAGCUAAAUAUUGGCGAGAGACCGAUAGCGAACAAGUACAGUGAUGGAAAGAUGAAAAGAACUUUGAAAAGAGAGUGAAAAAGUACGUGAAAUUGUUGAAAGGGAAGGGCUUGAGAUCAGACUUGGUAUUUUGCGAUCCUUUCCUUCUUGGUUGGGUUCCUCGCAGCUUACUGGGCCAGCAUCGGUUUGGAUGGUAGGAUAAUGACUAAGGAAUGUGGCUCUACUUCGGUGGAGUGUUAUAGCCUUGGUUGAUACUGCCUGUCUAGACCGAGGACUGCGUCUUUUGACUAGGAUGUUGGCAUAAUGAUCUUAAGCCACCCGUCUUGA
rnacentral:rRNA from 1 species